CUUGAAUUCCUACCUCCAUUCCACUGGCACCCAUCCUUUCCAAGCUAUGCUGCUUUGGCAGCUUCCCACAAGCCUUCUUCAGACAAACCUCCUCCAUCCUGCCUCCAAAAUUCUGUCUAAAGCACACACCUACUUGAAACCCUAAGAUAAUACUGAAGAAUUCUUCAAAAUCUCACUUUAGGCUCUAGACAGCCAAGACCACUCGGAGAGUCUGCUCAAGUACCCAGACUUCAACUGCCUCCAGACCUUCUUCCCCACAGCUUGGAUUUUUCCCUCUUCCGAAACACUGGGAUAGAAUGCUGCUGAGUGAGCCUACAGAGCAAUGGAUGACAGAAUCAUUUCUUUUCAGACUUGCUAUGCCCCACUAGCAAUGGCAUGAUUCUUGUUUUAUGCAGUGAUUUGGAAACAUGGUCCCUUAUACUCCAGGUUGGCUUUGAACUCUGAUCCUUAGUCUCUGCCUCAAGUACUGAGAUCAUGCUAGACUCAAAUAGCAUAUUAUAGGGAAGAAAAUUGAGGAUCACGGGAGGAGAUAAUUCCUGUGAGUCCUUCUAAGUCAAGCCCUCUUUCAUAUUCACUCUGCUGCCUCCACAAAAGAAAACAUGUAUUUUUGAGACAGGUGUGAUGGCUCACACUUAUAAUUCAAACACCCAAGAGGCUGAGGUAGGAGGGUCACCAAGAGUUUUCGGUCAGCCUGGGCUACAUAGUGACUUCCAGGCUAGCAUGUGCUAUAGAAUCAACUCUGCCUCAAAACAAUUACAAAAGAAGAAUAAGAAAAGGAGGAGGAGGAAACUAAGCUGCGUGUGGUGGGUCCUUCUGUAAUCUAGCCCUCUCUCAUGAGGCUGGGACAAGAGGGUUGCCAUGAGCUCAGUGUCAGCUAGGACAGGAUAUAAAUUCCAGGUCAACCUGUACUGGCUAUACAGUGAGACUUUAUCUCAAAGGAACGAACCACCUAGGCAUUGACCUUUAAUUCCAGGCCAAUCCCAUCUACACAGUGAGAUCCAGGCUAGCCAGCACUAAAUAAAGCCCUGCUUCAAACAACAAUCAACAAAAUGAAAGAACAAGGCUGGUGAGAUAGUUCAAGGCCUAAAGAUUUGAGUUUGAUUCCCCAGGACCCCCAUGGUGGAAGGAAAUAACUCCUGAAAGUUGUCCUCUGACUUCCACUCAUACAGUGUGGUAUGUGCACACCUACGCACACAUGUGCACUCACACAUGCACAAAAUGAAUGUAUGAGAAUAUAUGUAGUAACAUAAUGAGUGUGGCCACGCAAACCUGCCCUAACACAGUCCUCCCCAUGUGAAUCUGGAGAGAAAUGCAAACACCUCUUCAAUUUAGGGUUUGAAAGGCAGUGCCUCACUCAGUUGUUCAGAGAAUGUCCUUGUGUCUAGAUGAGGUGACUGUGUGGCCACAGGCUUUUAUGUGUCCCACCCAGUCCCUCAGCCACCUAUAAAAUUAUCACUCAGAUGCUUAAUGUUAAUUAUAAUUGUUUGGCAGAGGCUCGGGAUUAUUUCUGGCUAGCUCUUACAUUUAAAUUAAUCUAUUUCUAUUAAUCUAUGUAUUGCUACAUGGCCGUGUCUUGCUUCCUUGGUGGCUGGCCAAUGUCUCCUCCUGACUUUGUCUCUUUUUCCCUGUAUCUCUGCUUGGAUAUCCCACCUGGCUCUAUUCUGCCUGGCUAUUGACCAAACCAGCCUCUUUGUGUUAAAGAUAGAGAAGCUGACUUCAAGUCUUAGCCUUCUCCUUAUAAGCCAAACAUUUCUCAAUUUGAGUCCCAAUUGUUAUCUUAUUGUUAUUUGUGGUAUUGUGAAUUAAGCCUAGAGCCUCAAGCCAGACCUCUCAUUUUGAGAAUUACUUUACUUAGUUGCCCAGCCUGCCCUUGAACUCAUAAUCCUCCUGCCUCAGCCUGCAAAGCAGUUGAUUUUACAGUAGUUCUGUGCCAGCAGAGCACCCCAAUCUCAGUUAUAAUGUAGUGUUAUCCACUUCACAAGUUAUUUGAUCAUCUAAAAACCAUGCUUAGCACUUACUGUUAAGCAUUAAGUUCUCCCCAACUCAUAUUACCGGCAUAGAGGUAAAGAAAGGGACAAGUGCAGAGACCAUAAUUCUAAGGUCACACAGCUAGCAACUCAGCUCCAGAUCCCCUUGUCUUUAGCCUAAACUCCAGAGCAGCAGUUCUCAACCCCUUUUGGGGGUCAAAGAUCCUUUCACAGGGGUCACCUAAGACCAUUGGAAAAUACAGAUGUUUACAUUAUGAUUCAUAACAGUAGCAAAAUUACAUGUAUGAAGUAGCAAUGGAAAUAGUUUUAUGAUUGGGGUCACCACAGAAUGGGGAACUGUAUUAAAGCAUCACAGCGUUAGGAAGGUGGAGAACCACUGAUCAAGUUUAGAGCUCCAAGUCAGCUAUCUGGUUCUGUUUUCUCUUUCUUCCUUUUCUCCUUCCUUCCUUCUUUCUUUCAUUUCUCCUUUGGGUUUUUUGUUUGUUUUAUUUUUUGUUUUUUGUGACAGGAUUUCUCUGUGUAAUAGCUCUGACUAUUCUGGAACUAGCUCCGCAGACCAGGCUGGCCUCAAUCUCACAGCAAUCUGCCUUUGCCUUCUAAGCACUGGGAUUAAAGGUGUGCACCACCACCACCUGACAUUCUCCUUUGUUGUUUUGUGGGGUUUUUUUUUUUUUGCUUGUUUGUUUUGUUUUGUUUUUCAUUUUUAGCUACUGCUAGUAGCCAACCCUCUGCUUUGUGCCUACACCUCCUAUUCCAUCGAGCUAUGCCCCACCCAAUGAACUAGUUUUCUAGAGUUUACCAGAACACAGCCACACUCAAUCACUGUUGCAUUUUCUAAGCAGUGUUUAUUCUAUAAUGGGAGAGGUGAGGAAUUGUGUUAAGGGAAACAUAGGCCACACAGUCAAGACACUAUCUGGCUGUUUACAAAGAAAGCUUUUUGACAUCUUUUCUAUGGCAUCCUGCCUGUAUGGGGUGACACACUAGUUAUUAGUUGUGGAUGAAACUGGAUUGGAAAUUACUUUUGCUGACCAAGAAAACAAGCGGGACUAAUGUCACUACAGUUACUGGACCAGCUUUUGUAUUCUAAUAGUUGGGUCAGUGAAAUGGAAUCCUUAAUAGCCCAAGGUGUGACCUUCAAUAAUAAAUAAUCCAUAAAAGUCUAAUGUUUUAAGGCCUUGAGCCAAUGUCUUUCCCCAGCUGCCUAGCCUACUCUCAUUCUUGGAGUAUCUUUCUCAUCCUUAAUGAACCGUCUCCAUCCAGAGAAGGGGGGAAGGGGAGAAGAGAGAACAUUUAUGUUUCCUACUUCUUGAGAUCCCAACAUUGUUGGGUUGAAAUGAACUUAGCAAGGCCUGCUAAUACACAUCUGUAAUUCCAUUCACUUGGGAACAUGAAGCAGAAGGGUUAGGGUUAGGGUUAGACAUUCCUGGGCUAUAAAGGAAGCACAAAGUCAAUUGGACAAGACCCUGUGUGUCAAAUACAUCUGCAAUCCCAGCAAUUGAGUAGAGGUAGGAAGAUCUGGAGUUGGAGUCCAAAAACCUUUUGGGUCAGGGGAUGUAGCUCAGUGGUAGCCACUCUGCUGGUUCUGUGUGAGGCUCUAGAUUCAGUGAUGAAGUCGGGGAAGGAAGGAGAAAUUCAAGCUGUUCGUUCAUUCAGGCUGUCCUCUUGGGAAUACUGUACUGGGCUUCUAAAGCUAGUGUGGGACAUCUCCCAUGAUCAUCAGCAGUCCUGCUGGAUGAGUCCCCUGCCUGAAGAGGGGCAGGCCUUUAGCACAGCAAGGCAAAGCCAGAUCUAUCACAGAGCUGAGGCACUAGGCUGGCAUCUCAACACCUGUCAUCCUGUACCAAGAGCUGAUUCUUCAAGUGCCUGUUUCACAUUCCAAAGAAGCUCCUCGAAGCCUAUCAUUCACUGGCCUCCUGUAGUCAGUCGUUAAAAACUUCCCCUGACCUUUGCAGCUACUUCCUAUGAGCCUCUGAGGGACUGCCAGUCACCUGUGGCCUAUUUUCAGAGCUGGCAGCUCUGGCUUCUAGAGCAAACAUGGGACAAGCCCAGCCUCCAGCCUUGGGGGGGGGUCCUCUGAAUUUCCUCUAAGUUCCUAGUUCUAAAAGAAGAUUGUUUUCAGGAAGGAUUAGAAGGGUAAAUGGGAGCCCAAAUGCCACAUUCAGGUAGAUAGAUUCUCACUGCUGUACCCCAAGUCACUAUCUCAAGAUCUGGAUAGCCAGAAGGCUGUUAGCUUGUUUGCUUAAGUCAGUUACUUCCUUGUAGGUUUGGUGGGGGUGCAUUUACACUUAUUUACUUUUUUUUCUCAUAGCAAUGAUGCCCCCACAGAGUUAGGAAGUUAAAGCAAUACUGACUGCCAGCUGUAGUGUGGGAGUUCCACUGCAAAAGAAUGUCGUACAUAUUUCAAAAGUGAGCCUGUCCAAAACACGCCUCCAGUUUGGCUUUACCUGUAAUCUAAUCCAGUGGAGGAAGCAGAAUCCAAAUAGCUCAAGGUUCUGCGAACUCCACAACAGCUGCCACCACCAAAUGACAGCAAGCUGGGCUCUAAGGUGGAGAAAACUUGGUAGCUCCAUGCCACGUGGUCUUUGCCACUGUAGUCCUAAGAUGGACUUAAAUAGUUCAUAUUAGCGACCAAGAAAACUGAGGUGAAACCUCUUGGAACUGAACUACAAGUUCAGUUAUUCACAUUUGAUCUUGGUCCAAAGGCCAAGAAGAAAAAGGAAAGGGAGAAAGGAAGGAACACGGUUACACCACAACUUGAGAGUCUCCUGCCUCAGCCUCCCCAGUGAUGAGAUUAUACACAUGGGACAUCAUGCUUUAAAAGUCCAUCUAUCUAUCCAUUCAUUUAGAGGCAGUAGCUCAGUUUGGCCUCAAACUCUCCAUGUAGCUGAGGUUAGCCUUGAACAAUACAUGAUGUAGCUGAGGUUGGCACUGAACUCAUGAUCCUCCUGUCUCUACCUUCCAGGUACUGGGAUCACAGUCAUGAAUCACCAAGAUUUUUUGUCUUAAAAUGUUGCUCAGGCUAGUCUUGAACUCAAGAUGGUCUUUCUGCCUUAGUGCUGAGUGUGCCAUCAUGCUCAGCAAAUGCACGGCCAAUUUUAUUUUCUAGCGCUAUGGGUGUUAUUAUGCAGGCAUCUGUACUGGCCUGCCCAUGAGGUCCUGACAGGAUAUGCCCUCAGCUGCAGCCACUAAGAGCACCACCUGUGUCUUUUCACUAUGUUCCCUUUUAAAAAGGGCCCUGCCCACUCCCAUUCCCCCCCCUCUCUCUCUCUCUCUCUCUGUCCCCCUUUCCUCGCUCCUGCUGCUCCUGUCCUCAGAGGCCAGUCUCCCCUUUCCCCCUUUUAUGAUCCC
ensembl:lncRNA